AAAGAGUCAGCUGCAAUCUCAGAAGACAAUCCAGGAGAGAGAAGGAGAUGCAGGAGCGGAGACAGACUGUGGACUCUCUGAAGGUGAGUGUUGGACAUUUACUGUAUACCAUACAAACUUUGGGUUAAUUAGCCAAUUUUCUUAUCAGGACACACUUGCAGUAUUAUCUCAAAUGGGUUCUGGAUUCAAUCUGUACUGCCGAAGUAUCGUAGAAGAUCCAUGUUAUAGCUAGAUUUCAAUUGAAAGGCAAUGUUCCUCCGUUCGCGGAGACUGCAUUCACAGUAAAUGCCGCAUAUGUCGGAAAUUACAUUUAAAACGUAAUGCCUAUCUGGAUGUAAUCCAGCCCUUGAUUUGGGUGCAGACAACAUGGUAAACAAAGUCACAUUUAAACUUUUUUGACAUCACAUACACAAAAUACAUAUUGAAUACACAGAUACUGCUCAACAGAGACAAAAAGAGCGCUACGUUGGGGAACAGGCUGUCACGAGUCCAGUACUAGCUGGUUGAAAAUGAUCCCCUCGUCUCUCUGUGAGUUAACAGUGCUCUGUACAGGCAGAAGUUAGUAAGUACGAGACAGUCUUUACUGAACUGAUUGGGUCCAUUGAUAGAAUACUCACUGAGGUGAAAAUGUUGAUUAGAAGCCAGGAGAAGACUGCAGUGAGACGGGCUGAAGGACUCCUGGAGCAACUGAAGCAGGGGAUAGCUGAGCUGAGGAAGAGAAGCACUGAGCUAGAGCAGCUCUCACACACAGAGGAUCACAUCCAUCUCCUCCAGGGUGUUAAAUCUCUCUAUGACCCUCAUGAGCCUGUGUCCUCUCCCAUUCUGCCUGCCAUCUCACACCUCUCCUUUAGACAGCAUGACGUUUUCUCCUCAUGAGCCUGUGUCCUCUCCCAUCCUGUCUGCCAUCUCACACCUCUCCUUUAGACAGCAUGACGUUUUCUCCUCCUGAGCCUGUGUCCUCUCCCAUCCUGCCUGCCAACUCACACCUCUCCUUUAGACAGCAUGAUGUUCUCUCCUCCUGAGCCUGUGUCCUCUCCCAUCCUGCCUGCCAACUCACACCUCUCCUUUAGACAGCAUGAUGUUCUCUCCUCCUGAGCCUGUGUCCUCUCCCAUCCUGCCUGCCAACUCACACCUCUCCUUAGUCAGCAUGAUGUUCUCUCCUCCUGAGCCUGUGUCCUCUCCCAUCCUGCCUGCCAACUCACACCUCUCCUUUAGACAGCAUGAUGUUCUCUCCUCCUGAGCCUGUGUCCUCUCCCAUCCUGCCUGCCAACUCACACCUCUCCUUUAGACAGCAUGACGUUUUCUCCUCCUGAACUGAAAGAUCAACUGGAGAACACGUCGAAGGAGAUAUGAAUGACGUCUAAAAAUGACGUCCUCCAGCUGACGUUGGAUCUGAACACAGCUGAUCCAGAACUCAGCCUGUCUGAGGGAAACAGGAUGGUGACAGGCACUGAUAAAGCUCAGCCCUCUCCUGACCAGAGAGAUGUUCCUACUGGAGACAGGUGCUGUGUAGAGAGGGCCUGUCUGGAGUCUGCUACUGGGAGGUAGAGCGGAGCAGUGGAUGGCUUGAAAUAGAUCACAGGAGAAUAUUUAAAUCAAUGUACAUGUAUCAAUCCAAACAACUCACUUUUCUGGAUCAAUUACUGAAUCAAUGUGAUCUUUCAAAAUAAAAGUCAUCGUCAUGACAUUGGAA